rnacentral:lncRNA from 1 species
CCUUGCUUAGGCGUUUGCAUGGUAGCCAUCGGCACUACACUCUAUGUCUUUGGUGGCCGCGACGGCUUCCGUAAUUACAAUGGCUUCUACUCUUACGACACGGUUAAAAGCGAGUGGAAACUCAUAACUCACGUCAACAAUGGACCUGCACCGCGUAGCUUCCACUCUAUGGCUGCUGAUUGCAAUAAUAUUUAUAUCUUUGGUGGAGUGACUACUAAGGAACGUGUCAACACACUUCAUGCUUACAACAUCGUUGAUAAAAAGUGGACUGAGCUUCCGAAUCCAGGAGAGUCUUGCAAAGGGAGAGGUGGAGCGGGGCUUGCGGUUGUGCAAGGGAAGAUUUGGGUUGUUUAUGGGUUUAUUGGGGAAGAAGUCGAAGAUGUUCAUUGCUUUGAUCCAGUUGAAAGUAAGUGGACUAAAGUGGAAACAAGAGGUGAAAAGCCGUGGGGUAAGUUUUCCUUAAGUAUACGACUAAAAACAUUAAAAUGACAUGUAUCAAUUCGAUGGUUGAUUUGAAAGCUUUCAAAACCAUAUGGAAGAUAAAAGUCAAAAUAAUUCAAAUGUGAAAACAAUACUGUUCACUUUUUUCAAGAAUGUGUUCGAUAGAAAAAAAUAAGGUUUUUAUGUCAUAAUUUGUUUAAUGUCCAAUACGAUCAACCCAUGAUGUAUUAAUUAUAGUUUUAUUCCAUUAUUUUUAAUAAAAAAUGAUCCGAUCCAUCGGAAAAAAAUAUAUAAUAACAACAAAAAAUAUUUUAUGUAUACAAAUAAAAUGAUCAAAUAUAUAAAAAAACUAUCGAUAAUAUAUACAAAUAAACUCACCCUGCGCAAAACGCAGGUCUUAUCCUAGUGAAAUAUUAAAAAGCAACAAUAAUUAAUGUCAGAAUAAAAAGGGAGAAAUGUGAGCAUAGUGUGUAUAACGUGUGGGAUGAUAUAUUUUUUUUUUGGUUUAAAUGUGUACGUGAGAAAGUAUAAGCAAAAGUAAAGAAGUAAAAUUUACAUGAAGUGUAUAAAUAGAGAUUAGCACCUCUAAUAAUACCAUAUCACGCUCACUCAUACCUCGAACCCUAAGAGUAACACAAACCCUCAAGAGUCAGGUCUCUCCCUCUCCCUCUAUCUCUCUAUAUGUUACUACAAGUUUCCUGAUUUUCCUGUUUUAACUACAAUCAUGUCAAAGACUCAAAGGAAACAGAAACACUAACUCAGCGGAGACAUUUUCUUCCUUUUUUUCUUUAGUGAUAUAUAUAAAAACAGAGUUUGUGUUAUUCUUAGUUUGUUUUGAAAGAAGAAUUUCGCUGCUUUUCCAGGUUUUCGUUGAAGUUAGAAGAUGAACACAACGUUUGAAAAAGUGGGAGCAGUGGGUGGUAACAAAGGCGGACCAUUUGACGAUGGUGUUUUCGAUGGUGUGAAGAAAAUAACUGUCGGAAAAGACUGGGACUGUGUUUCUUAUAUCAAAAUUGAGUACGAGAAGGAGAAGGACGGAAAAUUUGAAACCCGUGAACAUGGGACCAUUCGUGGAGAACUUCAAGAGGUUAUAGAUCCUGACUUUGUUAUUCUUCAAUAUGUUCUUAUUAUACCUUUAUCGCAAUUUACAUUUGUUGUUUCUAAUGGAAAAUGAAAUCUAGUUCACGGUGGAUUAUCCGAACGAAUAUAUCACAUCUGUUGGUGGAAGCUACGAACACGUUUUAAGCUAUGGAACAGUGCUGAUCAAAUCUUUACGCUUCAAAACCUCAUAUGGAAGGACCUCUCCGAUACUCGGUCGUACGACCUUAUUUCGAAACCCAGCUGGGAGAGAAUUCAUGCUCGAGGGUAAAAAUGGUGGAAAGCUUCUAGGUUUCCAUGGACGUUCUGGUCAAGCUCUUGAUGCCAUUGGAGCUCACUUCUUCGCUGUGAAGUCUCCUCUUAAGCACUUUAACCUUCAAGGUGGGAAUGGAGGGAGUGCUUGGGAUGAUGGCGCUUUCGACGGUGUUAGAAAAAUACUCGUUGGACGAGGUGGUAAAUUUGUGAGUUAUGUGAGGUUUGAGUAUGCAAAAGGCCGAGGAAUGGUGCCACAUGCUCAUGGGAAGAGACAAGAAGUUCCCCAAGAGGUAUUAAUUGUUGACAUAAAAUAUAUGUAGUUUUGUGCUUGUUGAAUUUUUUUAAAAAAUGUUGCAGUUCGUGGUGGAUUACCCUAAUGAGCAUAUUACGGUAGUGGAGGGAACCAUCGAUGGCUACCUUACAUCGCUAAGGUUUAAGACAUCAAAAGGAAGAACCUCCCCUGCUUUUGGCAAUGUGGUUGGUAGGAAAUUUGUGCUUGGGGAAAAAGAUUUCAAGCUUGUCGGGUUUUGUGGUCGGUCCGGUGAUGCUAUUGAUGCUCUUGGUGCACAUUUUGCGCCUCUUCCACCUCCACCUCCAGCUCCAGCUCCUACUCCGGAUCCCUCUACCACAAAGAUGGGACCGCUAGGUGGUGACAAGGGAAAAACGUUUGACGAUGGUGUUUUGAAUGGUGUGAAGAAAGUAACCAUUGGAGCAGAUGAAUACAGUAUAACUUAUAUCAAGAUCGAAUAUGAAAAUAAUGGAAAAGUUGAAACCCGUGAACACGGGACUAAUCGCGGGGAGCUAAAAGAGGUACAAUAUUUGUAAAACAUAUUUUUAAAAUAUUUUUGUUAACAUAUUCAGUUGGUUCACUAUUAAUUGGUGGUUUCUAUUUUCAUAUGAAAUACAGUUUUCGGUGGCUUAUCCGAAUGAAUAUAUCACAGCCGUUGGUGGAAGCUACAAGCAUAUUUUCAACUACGAUACAACCCUUGUUAAAUCACUAUACUUUACAACUUCCAAAGGAUCUACCUCUCCAUUAUUCGGUGAGCUAAAGGGAACAGAAUUUGAGUUCAAAGAUGAAAAUGGAGGAAAUCUUGUUGGAUUCCAUGGACGUGGUGGUUAUGCUAUUGAUGCCAUUGGUGUACAUUUUGGUCCAGCUCCAAAAUCUUCUACACCGACUCCUCCCAACAAGUUUUCCAAGGUCUACAUUACAUCUGGAAAUGAAGGAAUUGAGGAAAUCAAGUUUUAUAAUGUAGAAAACGGAGAGACAAAGGAAGUGUUUCUUCAUGGUGUGAAGGGUAAAAAUCUCAUUUCAACGGUGCGUUUAUUACAUUUUUACACUCUGGGAUAAAAGUUUAUUUAUGCAUUAAUUAAUCAUAUUUUGAUCUGAGUUUUGCAUGUAAUUUCUCCAGCUUGUUAUUAGCAAUCCUCCUGAUGAGUGUCUCGUUUCUGUCGAGAGUUGGUACAAUUCUUACGAUGUUUCUCAAGGAAUUCAGUUUAAAACUGAAAAGAGCGGUUCCGAUUUCUUUGGAUAUAAGUUUUCUGAGGAUGUUGGUAAACCAUUUUCUCUCCAAGUCAAGGAUAAGAAGAUCAUCGGCGUUCAGAAGUUCCAUGACUCGAAUCUCAUAUCUCCUGGAACGUACUUUGUACUAUCCCGUUCCUCUUCUCCCAACAAAGUGGAAGCUAUAGGAGGAAAGGGUGGAGAAACAUUUGACGAUGGUGCUUUUGAUCAUGUAAGAAAAGUUUUUGUUGCUAAAGGCGAUUCCGGUAUAGCUUAUGUCAAGUUCGAAUACGAAAAAGACGGCAGAAUAGUGACACAGGAGCACGGACAAAAGACAUCUCAAGAAACGGAGGUGUUCGAGGUAGGUCAAGACGAUGACAUCACAUCUGUGAAAGCUUACUACGAAAAACUCGAUGCCUCGAAGACAGAAACUAUAACGUAUCUUGCAUUCAAGACUCUGAAGGGAGUAAACUCUCAGCCGUUUGGAAAGACCCCUGUUAUUGUAAAUGAGCAAACAAAAUUGUCUUUGCUUGAAGGUGGCAAAAUCACUGGUUUUCAUGGAAGCUCGACGGACGUUCUUCAUUCUAUCGGAGCUUAUAUUUCGACUUCUCCUCCGACGAUGUUGCAUGGCAAGUGGAUCCAGGUACGUACGUAGUAUGGAUGGUUAUACGGAUCGGUAUGGUUAGACAUAUUCAAUUUUUUCGAUCAUUCGGUUAAUUAGGAGAUUUCAUAUUUCAGUAGAAAUCAAUCAGUUCGUCUUUGAUUUUUUGAAACAUAAAAGUAAAUAUUAUUUUGUUACAAAAUAUAAUAGUAUGCAAAUUUGUUGUAUUAUAUCAAGUUUUCUUAUAGGUACUGGUUCAAAAUUCAAAAUUCUCGAAUAGAUUAUAUAUGGUUCGAUUCAUAUAUUCUUUAAUUAGCGACCUAGUGCGUACGUAGUAAUACUUCUCGUGAAAAAAAGAUUAUUGUUUCAUGUGUAACCGUGACAUUAAUUGUGUUAAGAAACAUUUGGUGACUAUCAUUACUAGGUGGAACAAAAUGGAAAGACUCCUGGACCAAGAUGUUCACAUGCUAUAGCAAUGGUUGGAAACAAAAUGUACUCUUUCGGGGGAGAGUUAAAGCCGAAUUUUCACAUCGAUCGAGACCUCUACUUCUUCGAUUUGGAGACUCGCAGAUGGUCGCUUGCUGAUCCAGACGGUGAUGUUCCUGAGCUCCCUUGCUUAGGCGUUUGCAUGGUAGCCAUCGGCACUACACUCUAUGUCUUUGGUGGCCGCGACGGCCUCCGUAAUUACAAUGGCUUCUACUCUUACGACACGGUUAAAAGCGAGUGGAAACUCAUAACUCACGUCAACAAUGGACCUGCACCGCGUAGCUUCCACUCUAUGGCUGCUGAUUGCAAUAAUAUUUAUAUCUUUGGUGGAGUGACUACUAAGGAACGUGUCAACACACUUCAUGCUUACAACAUCGUUGAUAAAAAGUGGACUGAGCUUCCGAAUCCAGGAG